GACGAACGCUGGCGGCGUGCCUAAUACAUGCAAGUCGAACGCAGUGGGGACGGGUGAGUAACACGUGGGUAACCUCCCAUCAGAGGGGAUAACACUUGGAAACAGGUGCUAAACCGAUACUGAUGGAUGGACCCGCGGUGCAUUAGCUAGUUGGUUAGGUAACGGCCAACCAAGGCCACGAUGCAUAGCGUUCCGGAGAGGGUGAGCGGCCACACUGGGACUGAGAAACGGCCCAGACUCCUACGGGAGGCAGCAGUGGGGAAUCUUGCGCAAUGGACGAAAGUCUGAUGGAGCAACGCCGCGUGUAUGAAGAAGGUUUUCGGGUCGUAAAACUCGGUUGUUGGAGAGGCGUUAUCUAACCAGGAAGCCACGGCUAACUCCGUGCCAGCAGCCGCGGUAAUUC
rnacentral:rRNA from 1 species